rnacentral:rRNA from 1 species
CCUACGGGAGGCAGCAGUGGGGAAUUUUGCGCAAUGCUCGUAAGAGUGACGCAGCGACGCCGCGUGAAUGACGAAGGCCUUCGGGUCGUAAAGUUCUUUCGACAGGGAAGAAAAUGCCUAUAAGUAACUGUGUAUGCAUUGACGGUACCUGCAUAAGCAGCACCGGCUAACUCCGUGCCAGCAGCCGCGGUAAUACGGAGGGGGCGAGCGUUGUUCGGAAUGACUGGGCGUAAAGAGCACGUAGGCGGUGUUGUAAGUCAUUAGUGAAAGCCUAGGGCUCAACUUGAGUAAGGCAAGUGAUACUAUAAUACUAGAGUAUCAGAGAGGGUGGUAGAAUUCCAGGUGUAGCGGUGAAAUGCGUAGAGAUCAGGAGGAAUACCGUUGGCGAAGGCGGCAAUCUGGCUGGAAACUGACGCUGAGGUGCGAAAGCGUGGGUAGCAAACAGGAUUAGAUACCCGUGUAGUC